rnacentral:rRNA from 1 species
GACGAACGCUGGCGGCGUGCCUAAUACAUGCAAGUCGAGCGAGUCUGCCUUGAAGAUCGGAGUGCUUGCACUCUGUGAAACAAGAUACAGGCUAGCGGCGGACGGGUGAGUAAUACGUGGGUAACCUGCCCAAGAGAUCGGGAUAACACCUGGAAACAGCUGCUAAUACCGGAUAACAACAGAUGAUGCCUAUCACCUUUUUAAAAGAUGGUUCUGCUAUCACUCUUGGAUGGACCUGCGGUGCAUUAGCUAGUUGGUGGGGUAACGGCCUACCAAGGCGAUGAUGCAUAGCCGAGUUGAGAGACUGAUCAGCCACAUUGGGACUGAGACACGGCCCAGACUCCUACGGGAGGCAGCAGUAGGGAAUCUUCGACAAUGGACGCAAGUCUGAUGGAGCAACGCCGCGUGAGUGAAGAAGGGUUUCGGCUCGUAAAGCUCUGUUGUUGGUGAAGAAGGACAGCGGUAGUAACUGACCUUUGUUUGACGGUAAUCAAAUAGAAAGCCACGGCUAACUACGUG